rnacentral:rRNA from 1 species
UCGAGCGGACCGACGGGAGCUUGCUCCCUUAGGUCAGCGGCGGACGGGUGAGUAACACGUGGGUAACCUGCCUGUAAGACUGGGAUAACUCCGGGAAACCGGGGCUAAUACCGGAUGCUUGAUUGAACCGCAUGGUUCCAAUCAUAAAAGGUGGCUUUUAGCUACCACUUACAGAUGGACCCGCGGCGCAUUAGCUAGUUGGUGAGGUAACGGCUCACCAAGGCGACGAUGCGUAGCCGACCUGAGAGGGUGAUCGGCCACACUGGGACUGAGACACGGCCCAGACUCCUACGGGAGGCAGCAGUAGGGAAUCUUCCGCAAUGGACGAAAGUCUGACGGAGCAACGCCGCGUGAGUGAUGAAGGUUUUCGGAUCGUAAAACUCUGUUGUUAGGGAAGAACAAGUACCGUUCGAAUAGGGCGGCACCUUGACGGUACCUAACCAGAAAGCCACGGCUAACUACGUGCCAGCAGCCGCGGUAAUACGUAGGUGGCAAGCGUUGUCCGGAAUUAUUGGGCGUAAAGCGCGCGCAGGCGGUUUCUUAAGUCUGAUGUGAAAGCCCCCGGCUCAACCGGGGAGGGUCAUUGGAAACUGGGGAACUUGAGUGCAGAAGAGGAGAGUGGAAUUCCACGUGUAGCGGUGAAAUGCGUAGAGAUGUGGAGGAACACCAGUGGCGAAGGCGAC